UACGUAGGGUGCGAGCGUUGUCCGGAAUCAUUGGGCGUAAAGCGCGUGUAGGCGGUCCGGUAAGUCCGCUGUGAAAGUCGGGGGCUCAACCCUCGGAUGCCGGUGGAUACUGUCGGGCUUGAGUACGGAAGAGGCGAGUGGAAUUCCUGGUGUAGCGGUGAAAUGCGCAGAUAUCAGGAGGAACACCAAUUGCGAAGGCAGCUCGCUGGGACGUUACUGACGCUGAGACGCGAAAGCGUGGGGAGCGAACGGG
rnacentral:rRNA from 1 species